CAAGUCGAGCGGUAGAGAGAAGCUUGCUUCUCUUGGAGCGGCGGACGGGUGAGUAAUGCCUAGGAAUCUGCCUGGUAGUGGGGGAUAACGCUCGGAAACGGACGCUAAUACCGCAUACGUCCUACGGGAGAAAGCAGGGGACCUUCGGGCCUUGCGCUAUCAGAUGAGCCUAGGUCGGAUUAGCUAGUUGGUGAGGUAAUGGCUCACCAAGGCGACGAUCCGUAACUGGUCUGAGAGGAUGAUCAGUCACACUGGAACUGAGACACGGUCCAGACUCCUACGGGAGGCAGCAGUGGGGAAUAUUGGACAAUGGGCGAAAGCCUGAUCCAGCCAUGCCGCGUGUGUGAAGAAGGUCUUCGGAUUGUAAAGCACUUUAAGUUGGGAGGAAGGGCAUUAACCUA
rnacentral:rRNA from 1 species